rnacentral:tRNA from 1 species
CAGGCGCCCGAGUUCGGGUCUGUAGCUCAGUUGGUUAGAGCGCACCCCUGAUAAGGGUGAGGUCGGCAGUUCGAAUCUGCCCAGACCCACCAGUUUACUGGUGAGAUAGCUGGUCAGAGUAGACGCCUCCACGGUAUGUAGAAAUACGGGGCCAUAGCUCAGCUGGGAGAGCGCCUGCCUUGCACGCAGGAGGUCAGCGGUUCGAUCCCGCUUGGCUCCACCACUUACUGCUUCUGUUUGAAAGCUUAGAAAUGAGCAUUCCAUUGAUCUUGACGAUCAGUGCCUGAAUGUUGAUUUCUAGUCUUUGAUUAGAUCGUUCUUUAAAAAUUUGGGUAUGUGAUAGAAAGAAAUAUAGACCGGGCACCUCUUUCACUGGUGUGUGUCCGGGCUAAGGUAAAGUUUGUGAAUGCAAACUUUCGGCGAAUGUCGUCUUCACAGUAUAACCAGAUUGCUUGGGGUUAUAUGGUCAAGUGAAGAAGCGCAUAC